rnacentral:rRNA from 1 species
UUGACGGGACCCGCACAAGCGGUGGAUGAUGUGGAUUAAUCGAUAGCCAACGCGAAAACCUUACCUACCCUUGACAUGUCUGGAACCUUGCUGAGAGGCGAGGGUGCCUUCGGGAGCCAGAACACAGGUGCUGCGUGGCUGUCGUCAGCUCGUGUCGUGAGAUGUUGGGUUAAGUCCCGCAACGAGCGCAACCCUUGUCAUUAGUUGCCAUCAUUUAGUUGGGCACUCUAAUGAGACUGCCGGUGACAAACCGGAGGAAGGUGGGGAUGACGUCAAGUCCUCAUGGCCCUUAUGGGUAGGGCUUCACACGUCAUACAAUGGUCGGUACAGAGGGUUGCCAAGCCGCGAGGUGGAGCCAAUCCCUUAAAGCCGAUCGUAGUCCGGAUCGUAGUCUGCAACUCGACUACGUGAAGUCGGAAUCGCUAGUAAUCGCAGAUCAGCAUGCUGCGGUGAAUACGUUCCCGGGUCUU